rnacentral:rRNA from 1 species
GAUGAACGCUAGCGGGAGGCUUAACACAUGCAAGUCGAGGGGCAGCACGAGGUAGCAAUACUUUGGUGGCGACCGGCGCACGGGUGAGUAACGCGUAUGCAACCUACCCUGUACAGGGGGAUAGCCCGGAGAAAUUCGGAUUAAUACCCCAUAAAGAUAUUUAGAGGCAUCUUUGAAUAUUUAAAGUUUCGGCGGUACGGGAUGGGCAUGCGUGACAUUAGCUAGUUGGUAGGGUAACGGCCUACCAAGGCUUCGAUGUCUAGGGGUCCUGAGAGGGUGAUCCCCCACACUGGUACUGAGACACGGACCAGACUCCUACGGGAGGCAGCAGUGAGGAAUAUUGGUCAAUGGGCGCAAGCCUGAACCAGCCAUCCCGCGUGCAGGAAGACGGCGCUAUGCGUUGUAAACUGCUUUUCCAGGGGAAGAAAACCCACGACGUGUCGUGGU